rnacentral:rRNA from 1 species
AGCGAACUCUGGCGGCAGGCCUAACACAUGCAAGUCGAACGAACUCUUCGGAGUUAGUGGCGGACGGGUGAGUAACACGUGGGAACGUGCCUUUCGGUUCGGAAUAACUCAGGGAAACUUGUGCCAAUACCGAAUGUGCCCUUCGGGGGAAAGAUUUAUCGCCUUUAGAGCGGCCCGCGUCUGAUUAGCUAGUUGGUGAGGUAAAGGCUCACCAAGGCGACGUUCAGUAGCUGGUCUGAGAGGAUGAUCAGCCACAUUGGGACUGGGACACGGCCCAAACUCCUACGGGAGGCAGCAGUGGGGAAUCUUGCGCAAUGGGCGAAAGCCUGACGCAGCCAUGCCGCGUGAAUGAUGAAGGUCUUAGGAUUGUAAAAUUCUUUCACCGGGGACGAUAAUGACGGUACCCGGAGAAGAAGUCCCGGCUAACUUCGUGCCAGCAGCCGCAGUAA